GCCCUUGAUGCUGGGCAAUGGGUCAGUGCAUCUGGCUGGUAACCAGAUGGUUGGUGGUUCGAGCCCACUCAGGGAUG